CUUCUAUUAGCUUUGAAAAACCCCAGAAAUCCUUUCUUUUCUUUUUCUAUUGCAUCGUUGCUUAGUGAAACACUUCGACUUGGUUCUCUUUUUCGGUCCCAGGCGUACAGCUCGCUUAUUCCCAGCUCCUCCAAGGAUUUGGUAAGCUCCAGCUCCUCGCCAGUGAUGCUGUCUCGCAGAAGAACAAUGUGCUCCUGACUGACCUCACACUUUUCACAAAUAGCUGGGAUGAUGUUGUGAAGGGGCACGUCCGGGCUGACUCGAACCACUGCCUUCUGUGUCUUCAGGUAAUUUACCACCAGCCUCACAGACUUCUCAGGAGCCCUCGGCAGAGGUCUCUUGAUCUUCUCUUCAGGAACCUUCUCUUUCAGGAGUACUGUCUGUACGUCCAGUGCUCCUAUCAAAGUGUUUGGCUUGUAACUCAAAGGUUGUUGAGUUUCCAAAGACUUCAAUUCAAGACUGUACUGGGAUGGAUUCAAGUGAUACCGGCUGCAUAGAUCAACCAAAAGAUCCAUCACAGCUUUACUUCCUUGUACUGUGCUCUUCUGUUCCACCCCGCUGGGUAAAAUGACUGUGAAGUCCACCAUUCUAUUUAUCAUAUUCUCCUUCAUGCUCACAAGGCUCUGAUCAGAAAUUACGGCUGUCUCUGCAGGUGACUUGUGCUCACUGUGAAUUCUACUGGUUGCAGAAGGUUGGUUUGGUGGAGGAGGAGCACGAGCUUUCAUUCUUCUCCCGCUGGGCGGCUUGCCGGCCGUGGGGCGGACGAGAGUCUCCAUGGGUGUUCUGAAGGGUCCCGACGCGAAGAGAAGCGAAGGUCGAAGAGGAGAGGGAAACGGGGCAGCGAGUGAGCAAUGUCCCCCCACGCCCGCACGCUUUCUCCCCGGCCCGGCCGCGCUCCCGCAGCCGCUGGCGGGGCGGGGAAAGGGCAAAGUUACCGCUCCCCGCUCCGCGGCGGGCGGCACUCCCGGCUUGGGGCGGGAGCCCGGCGGGAAGGAGGGAGGAAGGCAGGGAGCGCGACGGCCGCCCCCAGGGCCGGGACGGACACGCCGCCCGAGCUGCGACUGGUCGACCGGGCCCUCCUACCUGCGGGCGCUCG
rnacentral:lncRNA from 1 species